UCUUGUUGAAAAAUGCAUUAAGUGGGAGAACAUUUGAGAUGAAAGAGGCAGGGAGCUCAUCAGCAGUGAGGCCUUGCAAGUGGCCACUCCCAGGAGUUUGGAUGUUUCACAAACAAGGAAUGGUUGUGGCCCCUCAGGGCUCUGGGACCCAGCAUAAAAGGCUGCUCUGCUGCAGGCUCUGCAUCCUGGUCUCUGGCCUCCCUUUCCUCGAGGAACGAGCUUUGCCUCCCGCACCGAGAGAUGUCUUGCUGCAGACCCUGUCCCCCACGGCCCUGCGGCCCCUGUGGCCCAACCCCCCUUGCCAGCAGCUGCACUGAGCCCUGCCUCGCCCGCUGCGCUGACUCCACGGUGUACAUCGAGGCUUCGCCAGUGGUGGUGACCCUGCCGGGCCCCAUCCUCACCUCCUUCCCUCAGAACACUGCUGUGGGAUCCUCUCUGUCAGCUGCUGUGGGCAGCUCCCUCAGCACCGCGGGGGUUCCCAUCUCCUCUGGGGGCUCAGGCCUGUGUCUGCCCUUCUCCCGCUGCGGUCAGAUCUGCUGAGGCCGGCGCAUCAUCCCCGUUGUCCUAGGCAAAUGGGCCCAUCUCUCGCCCUCCCUGGCCCCCACACGCGUUCCUUGGUCUCUGUUCUCUGUUGCCGCUUUUGCUCCUUCUCAUUAAAGCCUUUGUGCAGCA